GCUGACGAGUGGCGAACGGGUGAGUAAUACAUCGGAACGUGCCCAGUAAUGGGGGAUAGCUCGGCGAAAGCCGGAUUAAUACCGCAUACGCCCUGAGGGGGAAAGUGGGGGACCGCAAGGCCUCACGUUAUUGGAGCGGCCGAUGGCUGAUUAGCUAGUUGGUAGGGUAAAGGCCUACCAAGGCGACGAUCAGUAGCUGGUCUGAGAGGACGAUCAGCCACACUGGGACUGAGACACGGCCCAGACUCCUACGGGAGGCAGCAGUGGGGAAUUUUGGACAAUGGGGGAAACCCUGAUCCAGCAAUGCCGCGUGUGCGAAGAAGGCCUUCGGGUUGUAAAGCACUUUUGUCAGGGAAGAAAUCCUUUGGGCUAAUACCCUAGGGGGAUGACGGUACCUGAAGAAUAAGCACCGGCUAACUACGUGCCAGCAGCCGCGGUAAUACGUAGGGUGCAAGCGUUAAUCGGAAUUACUGGGCGUAAAGCGUGCGCAGGCGGUUGUGU
rnacentral:rRNA from 1 species